CAGGGAGACCUACUCACUGCAAAGACCCAAAAAACCCAAUCAAGGUCAGCAGUAGAGUCAUCCCAAGGUCGUUCGAGGAUAAAAGAAUUACUAAAGCUCUCAAACGAGGGGCAGGAUAAUCCUGCCCCGUCUAGGCUUGGGUUAUGUGGGCUAUUAGCUCAGGUGGUUAGAGCGCACCCCUGAUAAGGGUGAGGUCCCUGGUUCGAGUCCAGGAUGGCCCACCUUGUUCAAGUUUUGAAGUUUGAGUUCUUGGUUCUUAGUAAUUAAAAACUCAUCACUCAAAACUAUAUAAACGAGGGGGUAUAGCUCAGCUGGUAGAGCGCUGCCUUUGCAAGGCAGAUGUCAGCGGUUCGAGUCCGCUUACCUCCACCAAGCUACAGAAGGUAGAUAAAGCCAUUUGCAUGAGAAACGCAUCAUCACAUUGCUGAGCCUAGUUCCUGCUCAAGCCUUAUCCUUCACUUCUAUACACCUGAGUAAACCCAAAAGUUUAGACUUCAGCAACUUAUCUAGUUAACUCUAGAGAGCCUGCUGGAGGACUACUCCAGCUAGAACCUUGAAAACUGCAUAGCAAUGAGUCAAAUGCAACGCGUAGCGAUAGCGUGUUUUAUAGCCCAAGGGUUAUAGCACCAAGCAGCUACAUGAUUGCAGGUAGACACCAAUGUAAUUAGUGGCA
rnacentral:tRNA from 1 species